rnacentral:lncRNA from 1 species
GUCUUGGAUGAGCGCGUCCUGUACGGGCUCGGCCAGGCUGUCCCACGCCGCCCCGGUGGCUCUGUAGGCCUCUAGAAUCUUGGCCACCUUGGCCGGCUUCAUGCCCUUGCCCGUCUUGGCGGGUGUCUGCGUCGUCGUCGUCUCGGAUGCCAUCGCGUUUUUUUCCUCCCCCGGAUGCUGCUGCUGUGUGCUGUUGUUGCUCUUGGUCGUCUCUGUCUGUGGUUUGUGCGUUGGUG